rnacentral:rRNA from 1 species
UACAGAGGUCCCAAGCGUUGUUCGGAUUCACUGGGCGUAAAGGGUGCGUAGGUGGCCAGGUAAGUCUGAUGUGAAAUCUCGGAGCUCAACUCCGAAACUGCAUUGGAUACUAUCUGGCUGGAGGGUCGGAGGGGGACUGGAAUUCUCGGUGUAGCAGUGAAAUGCGUAGAUAUCGAGAGGAACACCAGUGGCGAAGGCGAGUCCCUGGACGACUCCUGACACUGAGGCACGAAAGCUAGGGGAGCAAACAGG